AUGUUCAAACGUGUUACACAAGUCAGUCUGCUUAGCCUUGUCCUUAUCUAGCUUGUGUGCGGAGUGGGGAAAUGGCACGCUGGGGAAAGGUCUCUUCCCUCUACGAAACUCCCUCGCUUGUAAUAGAAAACAGUCAAGAAGCUGGAAAAAUUCUAACACUCCUGCUGAAGAACAAAAAAGGGAGAUGAAAGAAAGUGGGGAUUUGAGAAAGAGACAGCUUGAAUUUGGAGCUCAGAAAAUGAGAAGCACUUCGUUAGAGCCUCCAGUUCGAUACAAGAAACUCGCUACUCUGUAAAUCCCUGAUAAAGACAGAAAUAGAAGUGGUGUGUACUCAACAGGAUGCAUUUGCGGUGGCCUCCCAACAUCCCCUAUCCCUCCCUUCCCCCGAGGCUGCCGCUGGCUUUUGGUGGGGCCUGGGUGCCAGAAGAGGGAGCACGGAACACAGCAGAGCCCCAGCCUGAAUGUCCCUGCUGCUGCCUCAGGCAGGAGGAACUCUGCAAGGACCAACCUGCAGCAUUGCUGAUGCCACAGGUUUUUCAGAAAACCCAGCUUCUAGUUCUUAAUAUAUUUUUCAUUAUUACUAUUUUUUGCUGUGCAUGUGCAGCUUGAGAUUUAAGAGCUUUUAGCUUUAUCACAUUGUUCAAUAGGAAAACUGCCCAAAAGGCAUAUCUCUGAUUCAAAGGCUACUCUCCCACUAAAUUUCAAAUUUUCUCUUCAAAGUAAAGGCCUUUUCAGGUACAUUAAGAGAUUUUUUUCUGUACUUGAGUAAACAUGGGAGUUUUUUUCCUUCCUCAGUUUCACACUUGGAUUUUUGUUAAAAAGUUCUUUUGAAAACAUCAGCUUGAGGCAGACACGUGGCCUGGAAAAUUUAAACUCAGGUAGUAUUAAAGUCAAAAAACCAGCCUAUCUUCAAUUGUUUCAUCUGAUAGCAUGUCUUAGAAUCUGAAGCUCUAUUGAAUUUCAACCCUGAAAACAUAUCCUAGUAGCUGUUUGGCUAUAUUUGCAUUUAUAGUCAUUAUAUGCAAUGUGAUUGCAAAAUACCUGUACUGGGCUCAAAUACAGUAAGUCAGCUAUCCUUUAAUAUACUUAGCUCAUUCCAAUAUAAUGCUUAUUAUUCAGAAUAACACUGUCCAGUACAGAGACAUUACAUGAGAGGAAGGUAGGAAGUCCUGUACUUCUAAUCUAAGUAGUAAAAAAUAUUCUUUGCAGUGGUAAUUCUUGGUUCUGGCUUCCUCCAAUGGGUUUAGGUCUCUGGGUAGCUGAAGCAGUUAUGUUAGGUACACGGACUGAGUCUUUGGCAGUAUUCAGACUGUAUCCCUUUACUGUGCAGAGCUGUGAUCACCACAUCCAGUUCUAACUUGUUACAGGACCACAGUUAAAGAAUGGAACAGUUUUGUUAACUAGCCAAAUGGCAUGGGAGAAUUCCCAGAAUUCUUAGAAUUCCCAGGUUACUUAGUUUGCUAAUCUCUGCUCGAGAGGUUCUGGUGGCUUCAUUGCUAGCAAAGGCUUAGCCUUGAACAACUGAGAUUUUGGGUAAAUCCCUGAUGCUGAAAACAUGCAGGAUAUGAUUCAAGGAGCGCCCCACACAAGUUUCUCUUGGGGACAGUGCUGAGAACAAGAAGAGUUCAGGAGCUUGGACAGCAGAAUUCCAGACUUGGAAAGUUAUGUAGACAUCAUUAAAUUCAGAAUUCUAUGACCACAUUAAAUAGCAGAAGCUGUGAACUGACAAACUCUUCAUUGUGGAAUCUAUAUGGGGCCAUUCUCCUAAAGUGUCUUCCCCCAAGGAAGCAGCUCUAAUCCUCACUAUGUCAAGGCUUCUUGGACACACGAAAUUAUGAAGGAAUCUCAUUGGCAGGUGAAAUAUGGCAACAAGGAGUCAUAUCCAGUACUGUUGCACUUGGUAAAAGCCUACAUGAAGUGACUGCAAACAUGCCAGCAUUGGCAUUGGUGAGUCUUGAUGUGCUAUGUGUUCCUUGGACACUGGUGAGUGGAUAGGACUCAAUAUGAGUAGGGCUGCUCUGCUCAUCUCCAGAGAUAGCACCAACAACCUGAGAAUGCCCCUUUAGUCUCUUUGUCCACUCCUAGCCUCAGCAGAGGUGAUGAAGGUAUCACUUGUCACAAGAGGCCUUGGAACCACAUUUCUAACCUCCUUAUCACUUUUUCCUUGGGAUAUGUUACUAGCCCUUUGCAUCAGAGCUACAGUAUUCCUCAGCACUAUAGCUGUGCUAAAGGAACCUUCUCCCCAAGAUUCCCUGUGGCAGGCGAUAAGGAUAUUCAGUUUCUGGAAGUGAAGUGAGAUCUCUGCUGUCAAAACAGUGAAAGUGCAACUCCUUGUUCUAUGGAACACCGGGUUUCAAACAUGUCAGCACUUGAAACAUGGAUUAAGUGAAGAAAAUUCAAUGACAAUUUCCUGACAUAGGUGAUUGGUGAGGUAACUAGAGGAGAUGCCCUGGCUGGACUUAUUACUCAUGAACAAUCUGUCUGAGGGUGUAGAGGUUGAAGGCAGCUUUGGCUGCAGCUCUGAGUUUGUAUCAUUUAAAAUCCUGAGAUAAACAAGAAAACUAAUAAAAUCACCAGUCUUGACUUCCAAAGGGCAAAUUUCAGCUUGUUUGGGAAUCUGCUGUACAGGAUCACAUGAGAGGCAGUCAGUUGCCCUGGCACAGCUAGUUGAACUUUAAGAACAACCUUCUCAAAACACAGAACUGAUUCCUUCCAAGUCAAGAAAGGUAAGCAAAGGUGCAAGGCUAGUAUGAGAACACUCUAGACUGACUUCAACUACAAAAUCUAGCCAAUGGCAGCGUGAGUGUGCUACCCAACCAUUUCACUGUGGUGAGUGGAGAGGUCCAUGAUGGAUGGAAGAGGCAAAUGUCAUACCCAUCUUCAAGAAGGCUGAGAAAGAGGACCCAGGGAACUACAAGCUAAGAACUCUAACCUCAGUCUCCUGGAAGAUUUUUCCUCCUGGAAACCAUUUCUGAGCUCAUGAAUUGCAAGAAGGUGAUUAAAAAUAGGCAGCAUGAAUUUACCAUGGGCAAAUUCCCAUUGAUGAACCUGAUUGAUUGAUCAUUGUGAGGUGGACUAAUUCCAUGGAUGAGGGAAGAGUAGUGAAUGUUGUUUACCUUGGCUUUAGCAGAGCUUUUCCCAAGGUCUUUGAUAGUAUCCUACCAGUCAAAACACGGACAGGAUAAGCAGAUUAUAAAAUGGAUGGAAAACUGGUUGAAAUUCUACGCCAGACAGGUUGUGAUUGGCAGUAUAAAGUCCAUCCCACUACUGGUUGCUAGUGGCAGUCCUCCUCAGGAACAGAUUCUGAGGUAAAUGCAGUUUGGUGUCUUCACUGCUAAUGAUCUGAUCUAAUGGGAGAGCUUGCACUAUGAGCAGAUUCAUGGAUCAUACCAGCCUUCAGGGAAGGAGUUGAUAUGCCAGAGGGCAGGGCUGUUGCUUAGAGGGACCAAGACAAGCUGGAGGAAUGUAUUUCCAGGAGUCUCACCAAGCUCAGCAAAGACAGUUAAGAAGUCUUACACAUGUUGGAGAUAAUCUGGUUGAAGAGCAGCUUUGUAGAAAGGGACCUGUGGUACUGGUGGACACAAUGAGUAUGAGUUGGCAGUUGGGGCAAACAUGAUCAGCCUCAUCCCACAUUGUAUUAGCAAGCUGUAGCCAGCAGGUCUAGGGAAGUAAUUGUUCCCUCUCUCUGGUGCUUGUGAGACUGCUUCUGGAGUACUGUUUUUGCUGCCCAGCACAAGAGACAGACACAUGGUUUUGAAUGCAGCAGAGUCACUAAGACCACACAGGCUGAAGUACGUGUGUAUGAGCCGAGUGUGAUAGCAUGAAUAUAGGAAAGAGAUCCAAACUCUUCUUGGAAAUGUAUGGUGACAGGGGAAGAGCUAAUGGACACAAGUUGCAAUACAGGAAAUUCUGCCUGUAAGGAAAAACAUUUUCAUUGUUAAUAUAAUCAAAUGCUGGAAUGGACCACCAGUCAAUACUGUGGAAUCUCAGACCUUGAAGAAAUUCAAAAGCUGACUAAACAAGAUGCUUUAAUUGGAGAUGCUUUGAAUGAGGAGUUGAACUAGCAGACCUCCAGGGAUCACUUUCAACCCAUCCAUCAGAGAAGAGGAGCAAAGACCAGCAAAUGGCAAUAAUUUGCCACUGCAGACCUGCUCGAACCCUUAUUGUCACAGAGCUCUAGUGCCAAAGAUGAGGCACCUACACAUUUCUACACUGAAAGAUGGCAGCUGAAUUUUCAUUUGAGAACUGCAGGUUUCAAUGAAGAAUCCUAAGGCCUGAAUAUCUUUUUGAAUCUGGUUCUCAAUAGUCAACUGAAAAAAGAAUGGAUCUGUUUUCAAAGAGUGCAGGCUUCUCUCCUGAAGACAUGAGAGAUGUAAGAGGAUGAUUGACCAGGAUUGCUUUGAGGGAUGUUUUCUUUCCUGUUGUCCUAAGAUGAGAUUGGAGGUUGUAGGAAGUGGCAGAUGUUUUGGAGUGGCCCUAUUGUUUACAGGACUUUAAAUUGUUUUCUUUCGUGAGUUUCCUAUCUGCUAAUAGUGAAUGCAUACUUGUAGCUAGUGUACAUGAUUGCAUUUGGCACCUUUUUGGAGUUAGAUGGUAGUUGUUUUCUAACUGGUGCUAAUUUCCAUUUUCAGACACUCUACUUAACUUCAGCAUUAGCAAAAUUAUAUGAGAAAGUGAUGUUGCUGCACUCUGUGUUGUGCAGGGCUGUAAAUGUCGGUAUGCAUUACAGGAAUAAUUGUAUAGAAUGAAAAGCUAAUAUACAUUAGUGUUUUGUUAAAAAGUAUGCACAUUGUAUACAUAGUGCUUGGGAAAAAAGUAAUUUUCUCUUCAUGACUGAUCAAAUUCUAUACAUUUUAUAAGAAAACUUUUUGUGUCAC